GACGAACGCUGGCGGCGUGCUUAACGCAUGCAAGUCGAACGGAAAGGCCCUGCUUUUGUGGGGUGCUCGAGUGGCGAACGGGUGAGUAACACGUGAGUAACCUGCCCUUGACUUUGGGAUAACUUCAGGAAACUGGGGCUAAUACCGGAUAGGAGCUCCUGCUGCAUGGUGGGGGUUGGAAAGUUUCGGCGGUUGGGGAUGGACUCGCGGCUUAUCAGCUUAUUGGUGGGGUAGUGGCUUACCAAGGCUUUGACGGGUAGCCGGCCUGAGAGGGUGACCGGCCACAUUGGGACUGAGAUACGGCCCAGACUCCUACGGGAGGCAGCAGUGGGGAAUAUUGCACAAUGGGCGGAAGCCUGAUGCAGCAACGCCGCGUGCGGGAUGACGGCCUUCGGGUUGUAAACCGCUUUCGCCUGUGACGAAGCGUGAGUGACGGUAAUGGGUAAAGAAGCACCGGCUAACUACGUG
rnacentral:rRNA from 1 species